AGCGCGGCUGCCUUCAGUGCGCAUGCGCUGCGCCUGCCCUUCCGCACGCAGCCCUCUGCAGGGGGCCCGGCGUCCUGUGGGUGCAGCUGCUGGGGGCGGCGCGGUGGAGGAGCCCCGCAGAAGCUCUGAGUACGCAGGCGCGGGGCAGCCCGGCGCGGCAGCAGUCGCCCGUUCCCCGCAUCGCGGCCUGGCAGCACGGCUCUGCGCGCAUUUUGCUCUGCCUCCCGGCAUGAACGGACUGUUUGGCGUGGGCCCCUGGUGUUGUCUGAGAAGCAGUUUCAAGGAAGAGUUGUGCAGGGUGAUAGAGGAAAGCUGGGGAACACUGUAAGAAGGUGGUGGGCGAGCCUUAAGGUGGCACCUAAAACUGAUGGGGGCUGGGCAGGCAGGAUGUCAAGGAAACGGAGUGUGAGAAUGGCAUUCAGUAUGGGUUGCAUGCGGGCUGCCUUUGGGAUUGGAUGUGCAUUUGAGGCGCUGUGAGGGAUGGCGAGUGUCCAAGUCCGGAAUGGGCACAGAGCAGGUGA